GCUUAACUCUAAAUUCCCUUCUGUAACCCAUUACAGAAGGGCUUGGAACCAAAAAUUGAUUUUCAUUUUAUGAUACCCAUCAAGGACGAGACUAGCGAGGCCACCUCUAAGGCGCUGGUGGAUAUCUUCAACACCCACGGUUCUCCUGAGGUCAUCUUGAAUGACCGAGGUCAUGAAUGCUGGAACAAGGUACGGAUGUUAUAGGUUAUAUUCCGUCACCAAUGGAUUGUUUUAUUGAUUUUUUUUACAAUAGUUUUUUCCAUGGUACAUGGAUGGACCAACCAGACCCUCAAGACUGCCAUGGGCAAGUCCCUUGAUCAGUACCAGGAAGGGUGGGAGAACAACCUUCAGGUUAUUCUCUUUGCAUACAACAGCAGCAUCCAGGCUGAGUACGGAGGGUGGUGCAGCUGUUGACUGAGGUAAACAAUGAAAUUGUAUAUACAAUUAUUGCAUUUACUGUAGCCUUUCAAAGUUGUGAUAGUUGUUUGUCUAUUGCUAUUUUUGUAUAAUGUACUUUCAGAUCACUGAAAACCCACCUGAUGUGGUGGAAGUUGUCGAACCAGAUCAGAAUGCCUUCAAGGACUACAGUACCUUCAGGCAGGGACUGAGAAGGAUGUGGAGGGUUUUUGACCAGGGGAGACUGAACAUGGACAAGGUGCAGGAGAAACGGAAGGAAAGGCACCAGAGCAGAAUCAAGAAGGGGACCAAGUGCUAUGACAUUACUUGGUUUGGAAGAAAGACGAAAGGCGAGACCUGGGAAACCUUGCUGCUCUUUCGCUCCUAGCUGGGGUCACCAUCUGUUUACAUGUUGUCUUCCACCGAGGUAACCAUCUUCUACAGUUGGAGCACUUUGAAGCACUGACGGCCUACACUUCAGUGAUGCCCAAUAGACAAAGUAUGUUAAGCUUUGGUUGACAUUUGAGAAAGCAAGAAAUGGUAGUUAAGCUAAGCUUAUAAAAAUGUACCUCUCCAAACCAUCGACUGUCGGAGCCUCCGAGGACUUAUCCCGUCCAUCAGAACCAGUGAGUUUGGAUCAGUCGGAGGGGGACCAGCUUGAGGUAGGCUAUACCUUCCAAAAGUGUUAAAGUACAUAUCUCCCAUUUAUAACAACGCACUAAUCCAUGCAAUUUUCUCACAGUAAAGUGUAACCUGUGUUUGCUUGCUUACGCCUGUCUCCUUCCCUUUAACUCUGCUUCUGUUCCCCAUGAGCUUGGGGUACUGCCCAACACCCAGACGUAGAUCCACCUGAUGUCCUCCAUUACCAAUCACCCUCCAAUUUUUCAUGACAUCAUCUACGGCUACUGUUAUCAUUAUCUGCUAAGGGCAAGAAAACUAUCAUACUGGGAACAUAAUAUGUAAGAUAAAAAGAUUAGCACUGCAAACACUCAGAACAAAGAGAGCAGCAUUGCCUGGAUUUUGCAGUCUCCCUCUUCAAGUCCCCCUUCUGAGACUGGCUGCCUGUUGAACAAGUGACAGGCAGAACCUCCCACCCACACAGCAACCACCAAUAUAUUCCACACACCAGAAUUAGGUAUUUUAUUUUGAUUACCAUGUGAGUGCACAACAAAUCUGUGAAAAUACAUUUGACACAACUGUACCAAAAACCAUCAGUUU
rnacentral:lncRNA from 13 species